UAUGUACUCCCUCCGUCCGAAAAAGUUUGUCCCUUAAAUGGAUGUAUCUAGCACCAACUUAAUGCUAGAUACAUCCAUUUGAGGGACAAGCUUGGGACAAGUUUUCUCAGACGGAGGGAGUAUUUC
rfam:Triticum aestivum genome assembly, contig: Triticum_aestivum_CS42_TGACv1_scaffold_063221_1DL